GACGAACGCUGGCGGCGUGCUUAACACAUGCAAGUCGAACGGAAAGGCCCUGAUCUUGUGUGGUGCUCGAUUGGCGCACGGGUGAGUAACACAUGAGUAACCUGUCCUUGAAUUUGGGAUAACUUCAGGAAACUGGGGCUAUUACCGGAUAGGAGCUUCUGCUGCACGGUGGGGGUUGGAAAGAUUCGGCGGUUGGGGCUGGACUAGCGGCUUACGCGCUUCAUGGUGGGGUAGUGGCUUUCCAAGGGUAUGACGGGUAGCCGGCCUGGGAGGGUUACCGGCGACAUUGGGACUGAGAGACGGCGCAGACGCCUACGGGAGGCAGAAGUCGGGAAUAUUGCGCAAUGGGCGGAAGCCUGAUACGGCGACGCUGCGUGCGGGAUGACGGCCUACGAGUUAUAAACCGCUGUCGCCUGUGACGAAGCGAGAGUGACGGUAGUGGGUAAGGAAGCAACGGCUAACUACGUG
rnacentral:rRNA from 1 species